CACACACACUAACAGCGCCUUUAUAAACGCAUGUGACGUCAGUCGAGCGGCUCAGCCUCGGGAAUGAAGAUGGUUCUCAUCAAAGAAUACCACAUUGUUUUGCCAUGCACUGUUGAAGAGUAUCAAGUAGGGCAGCUGUACUCUGUGGCAGAAGCCAGCAAGAACGAGACCGGCGGAGGAGAGGGCAUUGAGAUAUUGAAGAACGAGCCCUAUGAAAAGGAUGGCGAGAAAGGACAGUACACGCACAAAAUCUACCAUCUCAAAAGCAAAGUACCAGGCUUUGUAAAGGUGAUCGCUCCUGAAGGUUCGCUUGUGUUCCACGAAAAGGCCUGGAAUGCCUACCCUUACUGCCGAACAAUUGUAACGAAUGAGUACAUGAAGGAUGAUUUUUUCAUCAAGAUUGAAACAUGGCACAAACCUGAUCUUGGAACACUAGAAAAUGUUCACAAACUGGACAGCUCUAAGUGGAAGUCUGUGGAGGUCACACCUAUUGACAUUGCAGACAAAGAACAAGUGUCCCCUGGUGACUACAAGGUAGAUGAGGAUCCAGCUAUUUUUAAGUCAGUCAAGACCGGCAGAGGACCACUGGGACCCAAUUGGAUGAACGAACUGGUUAAUAACCCUGACUGCCCACGAAUGUGUGCUUACAAGCUGGUCACGGUCAAGUUUAAGUGGUGGGGCCUGCAGAACAGGAUAGAAAGCUUCCUUCACAAGAGAAGAGAAUCUUCACCAACUUCCACCGGCAGCUGUUCUGCUGGAUUGAUAAGUGGGUAGAGCUCAACAUGGAGGACAUCAGACGGAUGGAAGAGGAGACACAGAAAGAGCUGGAGGAGCUUCGCAAGCAAGGUCAAGUGCGAGGAACCAGUGCUGCUGAUGAAUGAGACCAACCACGACCACCGCUUUCCUCAAGAAGAGGAUCGGCCAGGCCAAAUCACACCAGUGGAGCCAAUCCCAUUAGAUUUACUCAGUCAGGAGCUCUACAUUUAGAUUCGUUACUGAUAUUUUAGAUAUAAACCUCUCUUCCCCACAGUGCCUUUAUCACAAAUACUGAAGAAAAACUUUUUUUUUUGUCUUGUUCAUUCACUUACUCAUUUAAAGCAGUUUUCUAGACGUUUCCCUCAGGGCAGGGCCAGGCUUUACAUUUCACUUCCUCCACUCUUGUCUGGUCCUGCCUGGGCUUUAUUAGGAACAAACUUUGGGAACACGCCAUUUACAAUCAAUUUUCGCUCCAAAAAUCACAAUUGUACAAGCAUAUAUAUGCACACAGAUGCACAAACACUCCCAGGUGUGAAUUCCUGUGUGGUGAUUUCCCACAAGGCCUUUAAGGGUGAAGAUUGCCUUUAGUGUGUUUAAUUGCAUGCUUCUUUUCAAAAUCUGUUAUAACAAUAUCCUUUAUAGAAUAAGUCUCUAAGUGCUUGAAGAUUAUGUGCUAUGCUAAAGAAAAGGAUCAACCAAAAAUGAAAAUUUGUGUCAUUGGAAAUACUUUUUUUUCUCUAUUACAUGAAUGUUAUCAAAGACCCAGUGUUACAGUACAUUUGUCAAGGUACUCUCACACUGUUUUCAGGAUAUUAACCUUUGAAUAUGUUCCUCCACACUUGCACUGACUUGUCCUGCCUUACUUUUCCAUGUGCUCUAAUGUGUCCAUUU